UUACUGAAAUCAGAAAUUGUGUUGCUGUUUUGUGUAUUGUCAAGUAAUCAAGUCAUGGAGCAUUUCGAAGGCAAGGGUGUAAAGACGUGAGGACAACAAUCUCUUUCAAGUAGCGAACAUGUCAGAGUAUCAUUUCACGGAUUGCAAGUGGCUUUCUGCGAAUCACUUUCUUUUUCAAAUUGCGAAUGUCUGUCUGGCUGCAUCGUACUUAGUCCCCGAUAGCCUUAAUGGUUUGUUUAUGUUGCGAGGGGCUCUUGGCCUAGGAGGUUUGUUCUUUGCACUCUGGGGAUGGUGGAUUCUCUGUGCGCCGGACACUUUCGUUUGGAAUGUCUUAUUCAUGGUUUUCAACUUCGGACAUUUAGCAUACUUGAUUUACAAAGUGAAGAGGCCGCGGCGAUUCUCUAGUGAAGCUGAAUCAGUUUAUAAGUACCUUUUUGGCCCUUUGGGAGUACAGCGCUACCAGUUCCAGAAACUUGCGAAUCUCAGCUCGGUGAUAAAGCUUUCAUCUGGUGAAAUUUACGGAAAAGAAGACACCCCUGCUGAUCGUGUUUCCAUAUUGCUGACUGGCGGAAUCGAAGCCAGGAAAGGAGAUAGACUUCUGCAUGUCAUGAAAGUGUUUGAAUUCGUCGACUCCCCAGAAUGGGCGACUUUUCGACCUGGAAUGAUUUCGCGUUAUGGGGUUUCGUUGGUUGCAUGCGAAGAAUGCACUUUUCUGAGUUGGGAUGCAUCAGCAUUGAGAAAUUCGUUGAGAAGAGAUCAGUUCUUGAAAAACGUAUUCAAUUCGCUGAUUGGACAAGACGUAACAAGCAAGCUUCUACACCUAGAUCGUAACUUUGAAGGGAAUAAUGCGCAAGAAAGCAGUGCUCUUGUGUACGAAAAGCAACAUCACGCUGCAAGCUCAUUGAAUAAAGAACCUGAGAAACAUAAUGCCGCUUUCCCUGUCAACUCUGGUACUGAAAUGGGAGAUAUCACAAUUAAUUGCGAAACGUCAGAACUUGAAAAAGUUUAGAGGGUGUCAGAUUAAUUUUCAGUAUUUUGGCUCAUAUAUUUUGAAGUAUGGUUUUUGAGUUAAUGCUUUUUCAUAAUGAGCAAUUUUAAAUUUUUCGGAGGCUUUUAAUAUUUUUGUAAGUGGAAAUGCAAUUUUGUAUUUAUUGGCCUUGAAAAUGUGAGAUUUUUACCGCGAGUCCUGUAUUUCUGUUUUGCUACCCUUUGUUCUAAAUCUAUUUUACUAUCCUCUUGUUUGACGUUUACCUUCAUCCCAUACAUGUGCUUGGUUUUAACAUCUUCGCUGACAAAAGAUGUUAACAAAAACCUUUCCAUCCUAAAGUUUCUUUUAAAAUUCUUUGUUUCAUAUCAUUCAGCAAUACAUAAAACUCUCUUUAAAUAAACUUUCUCUACUUCUUCAAAGACUUACCAUUUUCAUUGCUUGUAGAGUGUAACUUGCCCCAACUUUCAGUUAAAUUAUUUGCGUCCAAAGUCGGAGGUAAUUUUCUGAAAGCAAAAAGCUUGAGUUUUCAUCACUGCUUUUUGCAUUGGCGUUAGCGUUCUCGAAAACCAAAACAUCUAGUGCAUUGAUUUAAUGUAAAAAGAUCUCAAGUCCAUUCAUUCAUAUAAGGACUACCUCGAGAACUUAUUAGGCUCUUUUCUUUUUAAUUCCUAUUAAGGUUGUAUUUUGUUUUUCAAAAAUGGCUCUGAAAAAAAGCAAUCAUUGUCAAACAUACUAAAGCUUUUUGUCGGACACUUUUCAGAGUAGAAAACGUAAGAACAUAGAUCGAGAACUCUAUGCUAGGUAAUAUAUAUACAGGUGCACCUACCCUGGAGGGGCUGUAGGGGCAGCUGCCUAUCUUGCCUUCUUCAAGAAGGGACAGAAGGGGCAAGAAGUGCCUUAAAAUAUCAACUGCCAAGAAAAGGUUUUAGAAUCUCGUAGAUUUGAUGACUAGUUUAGCCACUCUCAUUGUUUUAAUUUCAAUUAGAAAUUAAAGAAAAUAUAAAAAUUCCUCCUUUUUGAUGUCGGUCUUUGGAAAAUUUCACUACCCCUCUCCUCACAAAUAAUCGAUUUUGAUAGUGGAAAAACUUCCAGUUUUUGCCCUCAGUACCAGCACUGCCCCUCCUACCUUAAUCUUGCACAAGCGCCCCUGUAUAUAUACCCAGUUGUGAAAUAUGCCAAUGAUUGGUGUGACUGCAGAAUUAAGAGCAACAGGAAGUACCGGAAAUUGCAAAGGUGCGAACAAAAGUCAAGUCAAGCACGCAUGCAAAAAUGUUUAAGAGCUACUUCGGAGGUAAUAUUGUCCUCACAUUGCCCUCGUUAUCAAGAAAUCUUUCAAUAAACUUUGGUCAUAAAAUUUUCAAAGCAUUACAGAAUAGCAGCCAAAGAUUUUCCCUUCAACCCUCAGCGCACGCAACGCAGCAUGGAAAUUUACGACUAUUGUGCGAAGUUGAAAUUCCCAUACUGGCCUAUGGCCUCUGACCUUGAACCAACCUUUUCAGUCCAGAUAUUAGUGCAUGCAGCCUUAAUGGGAUGAGUGCCUUUGUGAAUCGCUGUGGAAUGCAUUGUUAACAGUUAGGCGAAACAAUACAUUCACAGUCGUUAUUGGUAUGAAUCUAAACGAGAAGAAAGGUUAUUUAGGAAAGUGAAACAAAUAUAAGGGUUGUUCUAGGACUACGGUGAGAUGUCGGAGUAUCAUUUCACGGAUUGCAAGUGGCUUUCUGCGAAUCAUUUUCUUUUUCAAAUUGCGAAUGUCUGUCUGGCUGCAUCGUACUUAGCCCCCGAUAGCCUCAAUGGUUUGUUUAUGUUGCGAGGGGCUCUUGGCCUAGGAGGUUUGUUCUUUGCACUAUGGGGAUGGUGGAUUCUCUGUGCGCCGGACACUUUCGUUUGGAAUGUCUUAUUCAUGGUUUUCAACUUCGGACAUUUAGCAUACUUGAUUUACAAAGUGAAGAGGCCGCGGCGAUUCUCUAGUGAAGCUGAAUCAGUUUAUAUACAUCUUUUUGAGCCACUUGGAGUGGAACGCUACCAGUUUCAGAAAAUUGCAAACCUUAGCUCAGCUUCUACCAUUCAGGCAGGAGAAUGUUAUGGCAGGGAGAAAACACCGGUGGAGAGAGUCUCAAUACUUCUCUCCGGAGGGGUUGAAGCAAAGAAAGGCGGAAAGCUGCUACAUGCAAUCCGGGAGUAUGAAUUUCUUGAUUCCCCUGAAUGGGCUGUUUUCAGAGCUGGGGAGAUAUCUCGGUAUGGGGUAACUCUUAUUGCGAAAGAAGAUUGCAAAUUUCUCACAUGGAAAAGCACUGAUCUGCGGAGAAAGCUUCAGAUGGACCCACUUAUGAAAAACGUUUUCAAUUCUUUGAUUGGUCAGGACGUGACACAGAAGCUACUUUGCUUGGAUCACAGUUACGAGAUCCCAAGCUCGCCAUCAGCAGUUGCAAAGAUCUACGGCAAUCAAGAUUAUAUUGGAGGAUACUUACACGCAUUCUCCGAGCCCCAACAAGGAAACCCUGAAAACGUUGGAAACUUCGAUGGCACUAUGGAGAAGGUGCCUUUGCUGGGUGUUAAGUCAUCUGAUUCUGUACCACGUGGGCGAUCAUCAGGCAAUCACAACACCGAAUCGGUCUGAAAUUCUUCGAUUAGUUGCGUUUAAGUUUUUUUAAAUCUAAAAAUUUGCAAUAGCUUACCUUCGAAUUAGUGACUGACUUCAAUAAACAUUUUGUACUUCUUAAUGGACAAGAUAUUUUCAAGCUAUUUUUAACUUCUUUUUUAUUUUUAUUAGCCAUUUUUGAAAAUCCGCAAGCGAUAACAAGUUUUGGUUCAUAAAUGUUGAAAUAAUAUUGAAAUUAGGGGUGUCUUUUGCGUUGGUUCAUUUUACUUGUGCGCGUAA